UACGGGAGGCAGCAGUGGGGAAUAUUGCACAAUGGGCGCAAGCCUGAUGCAGCCAUGCCGCGUGUAUGAAGAAGGCCUUCGGGUUGUAAAGUACUUUUCAGUCGUGAGGAAGGUGUUAAGGUUAAUAACCUUAGCAAUUGACGUUAGCGACAGAAGAAGCACCGGCUAACUCCGUGCCAGCAGCCGCGGUAAUACGGAGGGUGCGAGCGUUAAUCGGAAUUACUGGGCGUAAAGGGCACGCAGGCGGUUAAUUAAGUUGGAUGUGAAAUCCCCGGGCUUAACCUGGGAAUGGCAUUCAAGACUGGUUAGCUAGAGUCUUGUAGAGGGGGUAGAAUUCCAUGUGUAGCGGUGAAAUGCGUAGAGAUGUGGAGGAAUACCGGUGGCGAAGGCGGCCCCUGGACAAAGGCUGACGCUCAUGUGCGAAAGCGUGGGGAGCAAACAGGGAUUAGAUACC
rnacentral:rRNA from 1 species